rnacentral:rRNA from 1 species
UACGUAGGGUGCAAGCGUUGUCCGGAUUAUUGGGCGUAAAGAGCUCGUAGGCGGUUUGUCGCGUCGGAUGUGAAAACCCAGGGCUCAACCCUGGGCCUGCAUUCGAUACGGGCAAACUAGAGUAUGGCAGGGGAGACUGGAAUUCCUGGUGUAGCGGUGAAAUGCGCAGAUAUCGAGGAGGAACACCCGUGGCGAAGGCGGC